AGUGAACGCUGGCGGUAGGCCUAACACAUGCAAGUCGAACGGCAGCACAGUAAGAGCUUGCUCUUACGGGUGGCGAGUGGCGGACGGGUGAGGAAUACAUCGGAAUCUACUUUUUCGUGGGGGAUAACGUAGGGAAACUUACGCUAAUACAGCAUACGACCUACGGGUGAAAGCAGGGGAUCUUCGGACCUUGCGGGAUUGAAUGAGCCGAUGUCGGAUUAGCUAGUUGGCGGGGUAAAGGCCCAGCAAGGCGACGAUCCGUAGCUGGUCUGAGAGGAUGAUCGGCCACACUGGAACGGAGACACGGUCCAGACUCCUACGGGAGGCAGCAGUGGGGAAUAUUGGACAAUGGUCGCAAGCCUGAUCCAGCCAUACCGCGUGUGUGAAGAAGGCGUUCGGGUUGUAAAGCCCUUUUGUUGGGAAAGAAAAGCAGCAGGUUAAUACCCCGCUGUUCUGACGGUACCCAAAGAAUAAGCACCGGCUAACUUCGUG
rnacentral:rRNA from 1 species